AUUGAACGCUGGCGGCAGGCCUAACACAUGCAAGUCGAACGAGUGGCGGACGGGUGAGUAAUUUCUGGGAAACUGCCUGAUGGAGGGGGAUAACUACUGGAAACGGUGGCUAAUACCGCAUACCAUCGGAUGUGCCCAGAUGGGAUUAGCUAGUAGGUGGGGUAAAGGCUCACCUAGGCGACGCUCCCUAGCUGGGCUGAGAGGAUGACCAGCCACACUGGAACUGAGACACGGUCCAGACUCCUACGGGAGGCAGCAGAGGGGAAUAUUGCACAAUGGGAGCAAGCCUGAUGCAGCCAGUCCGCGGGUAGGGAGAAGUCCUUCGGGUUGUAAAGUAGUUUCAGCGGGGAGGCGUUACCCGCAGAAGAAGCACCGGCUAACUCCGUGCCAGCAGCCGCGGUAAUUC
rnacentral:rRNA from 1 species